UAAUUUACGUGUUAUGUAUGAAGCAUUAGAUUAGUAUUAGUUACAUCCUUACAGAUUCUCUUAUCUGUGCUUUAACUUUCUAAUAGGUGGUCAAGAAGAAUACAUCUUAUCUUACGAGGCAGUGAAUCAACAAGAAGUCAGUUAUACUCGACCAGUUAUCAUAUUGGGACCUAUGAAAGACAGGAUAAAUGAUGAUUUGAUCUCAGAAUUUCCUGACAAAUUUGGAUCCUGUGUUCCUCAUACAACUAGACCAAAACGAGAUUAUGAAGUGGAUGGAAGAGAUUAUCAUUUUGUGACUUCAAGAGAACAGAUGGAAAAAGAUAUCCAGGAGCAUAAAUUCAUUGAAGCUGGCCAGUAUAACAACCAUCUGUAUGGAACAAGUGUUCAGUCUGUGCGAGAAGUAGCAGAAAAGGUAAGGCGCAAAGUAAUCUCAGAAUGUUAUUUCUAAAUCAGAUGUGUCUUUGACAAUAUGAAAGAAUAAUAGAAUAGAAACUUGCUUUACAUGUAUGAAAAAUAUAAGAUUGAUGA